GUGUAUAUAUAUAAAGGUAAAGACACCCUUUGGUCAUCAAUGACCAUGGGAUUGCACCUAGAAAGUUACCCUCCGAGGCACAAGUCCAGGCAAGGCUGUUUGUGGAAGGCCAGCAGUUGCCCAUGCAUACCAGCCUUCCCUCUCCACACCACUGAUG